UACGAAGGGUGCAAGCGUUACUCGGAAUUACUGGGCGUAAAGCGUGCGUAGGUGGUUUGUUAAGUCUGUUGUGAAAGCCCCGGGCUCAACCUGGGAAUGGCAAUGGAUACUGGCAGGCUAGAGUGCGGUAGAGGGUAGUGGAAUUCCCGGUGUAGCGGUGAAAUGCGUAGAGAUCCGGAAGAACACCGGUGGCGAAGGCGGUCUGCUGGGCAGUUGCUGACACUGAGGCGCGACAGCGUGGGGAGCAAACAGG
rnacentral:rRNA from 1 species